GCACCCAUAACUCAGCUGGUAGAGUAGCUCCCUCUUAAGGAGAAUGUCGUUGGUUCGACUCCAACUGGGUGCA
rnacentral:tRNA from 1 species